rnacentral:siRNA from 1 species
UCCGUCCGUUCAUUCUCUCAUGCC